rnacentral:tRNA from 1 species
GCGGGCGUAGUUCAGUGGUAGAACGACAGCUUCCCAAGCUGUAUGUCGCGGGUUCGAUUCCCGCCGCCCGCUCCA